AACGAACGUUGGCGGCGUGGAUUAGGCAUGCAAGUCGCGGGAAUCCCAGCAAUGGGGGAACCGGCGUAAGGGGCAGUAAGGCGUGGGUACCUACCCCGGGGUCCGGGAUAGCCCGCCGAGAGGCGGGGUAAUACCGGAUGACCUCGGGAGAGCAAAGCUCCGGCGCCCCGGGCGGGGCCCACGUGAUAUUAGCUAGUUGGCGGGGUGACGGCCCACCAAGGCGGAGAUGUCUAGCGGGUGUGAGAGCACGACCCGCGCCACUCGCACUGAGACACUGGCGAGACACCUACGGGUGGCUGCAGUCGAGGAUCUUCGGCAAUGGGCGCAAGCCCGACCGAGCGACGCCGCGUGUGCGACGAAGGCCUUCGGGUUGUAAAGCACCGUCGAGGGGGAGGAAGGCCCGCAAGGGCGUGACCGAUCCCUGGAGGAAGCUCGGGCUAAGUUCGUGCCAGCCGCCGCCGUAACAC
rnacentral:rRNA from 1 species